AAGAAACUGGGCGCAUCUGAGUUACGUAAAUGUUAUACAUUCUUCUAGAGCUAAGUGCUUAUUAAUUUUUUCCCUAUUCAAAAGCUUCUACAUGCUGUUUUUUUUUUUAAGUGAUUAUCAUUGUUUCUAAUGUAAGUGAUUGAAAUAUAAUGUGGGAAAGCAUCGAUCAUAACUUGCUGUAGUUCACAUUUUAAGACGCUUAUUUCUGCUCAUUUUCAUAUUGCACCAGUGUCUGCCUUCCUCUUCCCAGCCCGCUGAGCAUGUACUCCAUCCUCCACGGCCUGCUCUGCCUGUAGAUGCAGGUAUCCUGGCUCAGCGCUCUCACGUGUUGACCUGCCUCCCCAGGGCCUGAUGCUCUCGCCACUUCAGAAAUGUUUGCUGAGUGAAUGAACUGCUUUGUAGUUGUCUGCUUCAACCGGCUGUUGCAUAAGUCUAUGUUUGCGGGUGCUUUUCCUCUGCCUAGCAUGCCUUUCCCUUGCUCGCCUGGCUUGUUCCUCAGGACUCAUCUCAAGUAUCGUUCCUAAUAAGUCUCUCCUGAUGCCUCCCCUCGUUAUCCCUUAGGGUCCCUUUCUUUGUCCCCAAAGGUUGUAUGUAGCUUUAUCCUGCGCUUGUCGCCUUGUAGAAAAAUUGCCUGUCUGGAUCUGCCUGCCUUGCCGACUGUGAGCCCCCCCAGGGCUAGUGCCCUGUCUGAUCAUCUCUCUUUCACCCGCACCAGCCAGCAGAACUGUUUUAGCCCUUAGGCGAUGUGGGUAAAAUGACUAGUGCCAACAGGCUUUUAAAAUGCUUAUCAGAAUGUUUGAGACACAAAAGCAAUGUUGUUGGCUCGAAAGUAUUUUUUUAAUCUGCAAAAUCAAAGCUAAAAAUGUUUAAUGAAGUAUCUCCAAAAUAUUAUAGUGUCAAUAUCAUUAAUUAUUAAAGUUAGUCUUCACAUGCAGUUUGUUCCACUCUAAAACAAUUUGUAGGUUAGACUUUCUCUGCUUACAAAAAUCCUCCCAGCGUGUGUGAUGAUUUCAGAGAAAUGCCAGUCAGUUGUCAAUUCAUUUAGCUACACGCAGCACACAGUAUUUUCCAAAGCAAAAUUAGAAGUCUUUUCAGAAAUGUUUACAGUUAUAUGUAAGGCAGAUGUGCCUAGGGGCUUUGGAGUUCCUAAAGAGCCCCACGUGCGAAGAGAGGGACGUUCAGGAAUGCUUCGAUUGUGGCUUAUGCCCUUCAGUGUGCCACAGUCCCACCCCACAACCUGGUGUCUUACACCUACCCAGCCUCGCUUGUUGACUUUGCCUGCUGCACCUUGAAAAGCCCUGAGUCUCUGACUGCUGAUCCUGGACUUUUAGAGCUGGAAGAGAGAUUUGAGAUGACUGAGCCAAUCCUGUCCCUCUUUAGGGCCCAGGCUGAUGGAGCAACCUUGAUCUGGAGAAUUGCCAGUGGGAGUAGAGCGACAAAAGAUUGGUGAACCAUAAACUAGCUCCUGAAACUUCUGGUCAGAAGUGACAAACAUAACUGCUGCUCACUUUUUUUUGGCCCAAAUGAGACACAAGGCCAAGCUUAUCCUCAGUGUGACAGGGAAGACUAAUGCUCCUCCCAUCUGAGGGGCAUUGCAGAUCUGUGGACCGUUAUGCAGUGACCACAGCAUAUGAUGGUUUGGUUGGGCUAUCGGAUGGCAUCCACAUUUGGUGACAAAACAAGGCCUUUAGGAGAAUCUUUUCAGAGUUUUAUAAGAGGGGUGACUUUGAAAAUCUCAGAGAUCACAGAUCAUCUUGUGACAAAGCACUUAAAAGAAUUGUCAAGCUUAAAAAAUGAGUUACUGUAUUUUCUUUUACAGAAAGUGCUCCACAUUUCCUCAUCUCUUCUUUGAUGACUAGAAGCUGUCUUCAGGAUGGUUUAGGAGAGAAUUUCACAAAAAUAAACAGACAAUCUGUUCCUUCAAGAUAAAGGUGAUGUUUUAACAAUGCAUGAGAAAGUCAUUGGUUUUCAAAAGAGUCUUGUCUGAUGGCGAGAGCAUUUUUGAAAAUAGAUGGUCAGAAAUCUGUCCAACGUUACGUGAUUUUGUUGCUAAAAAUGACGUGUAUCAGUUAUAAAAACCUCAUAUCUGCACACUUAACUUUGAAACUGAAAUUUCCAACUCCCUUCAGAAAUCUUCCAAAUGGAGAGUUUGCGUUUGCAAUGUAUUGAGGAAUUCUAGGGAGGACGGUGGUGCAGACCUGGCUCAUCUAAGGCAGGCGAGCUAACGCAAGGGAGAGAGCAGGCACGGUGUGGAGACGGCAAGCCUGUGCUCCUCGGCCACGCUUUCGGGGCCCGGGAAGAAUCCAUCCACAUCUUCAUUGUUUUCCCUGAUACCACGAGUUGGCCUUCUCAGGAUGCCCAGACUGAUCUCUUUGUCAGCUGCCAACUGAUUUGUUUACCCCAAGAAUGUGCCUGCAGGAUUCACUAGUCCCAGGCUGCCAGCUGGGUUCUCCUCUCUUCCCUCUCAUGCCUCCUGUUUGUAAUUUUGUUUCAUGACAACAGUCCAUUGACCUUUCUGCCUCAUGUCUGAGUAAAUAAAUUGCGUGUACAACAA